AAGACUAUAGACCUGCGGAGUACCUGCGGAAGGAUCAUUAUCGAGUUGCAAAACUCCCUAAACCAUUGUGAACCUACCUACACCGUUCCUUCGGCGGGCGGCGUCAAGCCCUAACCCGUUCCCCUUUGCGGGGGAUGGACCCGCCGGAGGCUCCUAAACUCUUAAUUUUAGUUGGCAUCUCUGAGUAAAUCAAAAUAAGUCAAAACUUUCAGCAACGGAUCUCUAGAUCGGAAGAGCACA
rnacentral:misc_RNA from 1 species